rnacentral:rRNA from 1 species
AACCUGCCGAAAGGCAGACUAAUACCGCAUAGUCUUCGAUGACGGCAUCAGAUUUGAAGUAAAGAUUUAUCGGUAAUGGAUGGGGAUGCGUCUGAUUAGCUUGUUGGCGGGGUAACGGCCCACCAAGGCUACGAUCAGUAGGGGUUCUGAGAGGAAGGUCCCCCACAUUGGAACUGAGACACGGUCCAA